rnacentral:rRNA from 1 species
AGAGUUUGAUUAUCGGCUCAGAACGAACGCUGGCGGCAGGCUUAACACAUGCAAGUCGAACGCUCCGCAAGGAGAGUGGCAGACGGGUGAGUAACGCGUGGGAACCCUCCUAUUGGUUCGGAAUAGCUCAGGGAAACUUGGGGUAAUACCGGAUAAGCCCUAUGGGGGAAAGAUUUAUCGCCAAUAGAUGGGCCCGCGUCUGAUUAGCUAGUUGGUGAGGUAAUGGCUCACCAAGGCGACGAUCAGUAGCUGGUUUGAGAGAAUGACCAGCCACACUGGGACUGAGACACGGCCCAGACUCCUACGGGAGGCAGCAGUGGGGAAUCUUGGACAAUGGGCGCAAGCCUGAUCCAGCCAUGCCGCGUGAGUGACRAAGGCCUUA